rnacentral:misc_RNA from 1 species
AUAAUUAUUUAUUAUCAGCAGAAGGUAAACACUCAGUUCUAGCUUCUCAGCCCUCAAUGUGCAUAAAAUGCUUUAAUACAUCUCUUCACGCUUACCAUCAAAAGGUUUUGGUAUCAUGAGAAAUUAUGUAAAUAAUCAUGCUAGACACACUGCAAACUAGCAAAUGCAGAUAUUAGAAGUCAAAUCAUAGUUCAAGUGAGGCUGCACCGCGUAUUUUUUUUAGUAAGCAGAUUCCUAGAAGCAGACUUUUCUAUGACACUUCUGUAAUAUUGUGUAAAUGGAACAUUGCCGCUGCCCUUUUCAAGCUGCAGAAAUGAUUCAACAGAUUGCUGAUCUCUUGGUGAAAAAGCAACUUCAUCUCUCCUCUUCCGCACAAACUCAAUGUUC